rnacentral:rRNA from 1 species
CCCGCUGAACUUAAGCAUAUUAUUAAGCGGAGGAAAAGAAACUAACUAGGAUUUCCUUAGUAACUGCGAGUGAAUAGGGAAAAGCUCGAACUGGGAAUUGGCAGUUUUCCGUCGAAUUGUAGUCUUAUGAAAUGCAGCCUGUAAAUGUUUUGAGUUAAGUCUCUUGAAAAAGAGUACCAAAGAGGGUGAAAGUCCCGUCUUUACUCAUAGUUAUUUACUUUCGGUGCAUUUUCAGAGAGUCUCGUUCCUUGAGAUUGGAGCGCUAAGUGGGUGAUAAACUUCAUCUAAAGCUAAAUAUUAACGAGAUUCCGAUAGUGCACCAGUACCGUGAGGGGCGGGUGAAAAGAACUUUGAAAAGAGAGUUAAAAGGUACUGAAAUUGCUGAAAUGGAAGUGGAGAGAAUGAACGGUCAAGUAAAGUCUUGUAUGCACCUUGAAUACUUGUUAUUCACAAGUGCAGGGCUGAGAAUUUGCGGUGACUCUGGAGGUGAUUGUCCGGACUGAUAAUAUUAGUGAUAGGUUCUAUAUUAGGACCACGUCUUUAAUGUUUUCAGCCCGUAUGAUUUACGUAUUUCUAAUUCAAUAGUUGGUAUUGAAUUAUACCCUUCCGGAAAUGUUGAUUUUCUCCUCCCCGUCUUGAAACACGG